rnacentral:rRNA from 1 species
AACGAACGCUGGCGGCAGGCUUAACACAUGCAAGUCGAACGCAUCCUUCGGGGUGAGUGGCAGACGGGUGAGUAACGCGUGGGAACGUGCCCUUCAGUUCGGAAUAACCCAGGGAAACUUGGGCUAAUACCGGAUACGUGCGAGAGCAGAAAGAUUUAUCGCUGAAGGAUCGGCCCGCGUCUGAUUAGCUAGUUGGUGAGGUAAUGGCUCACCAAGGCGACGAUCAGUAGCUGGUCUGAGAGGCUGAUCAGCCACAUUGGGACUGAGACACGGCCCAAACUCCUACGGGAGGCAGCAGUGGGGAAUAUUGGACAAUGGGCGCAAGCUUGAUCCAGCCAUGCCGCGUGAGUGAUGAAGGCCUUAGGGUUGUAAAGCUCUUUCAAUGGGGACGAUAAUGACGGUACCCGCAGAAGAAGCCCCGGCUAACUUCGUGCCAGCCGCCGCCGUAA